UACGUAGGGUGCGAGCGUUGUCCGGAUUUACUGGGCGUAAAGGGCGCGUAGGCGGCCACCGCAAGUCAGUUGUGAAAUCUCUGGGCUUAACCCAGAACGGUCAGCUGAUACUGCGGGGCUAGAGUGCAGAAGGGGCAACUGGAAUUCUCGGUGUAGCGGUGAAAUGCGUAGAUAUCGAGAGGAACACCUGCGGCGAAGGCGGGUUGCUGGGCUGACACUGACGCUGACAGCGCGAAAGCUAGGGGAGCGAACGGG
rnacentral:rRNA from 1 species